rnacentral:rRNA from 1 species
AGCGACACUAUGUGUUGUUGGGUAGGGGAGCGUUCUGUAAGCCGUUGAAGGUGUCCUGUGAGGGAUGCUGGAGGUAUCAGAAGUGCGAAUGCUGACAUAAGUAACGAUAAUGCGGGUGAAAAACCCGCACGCCGGAAGACCAAGGGUUCCUGUCCAACGUUAAUCGGGGCAGGGUGAGUCGACCCCUAAGGCGAGGCCGAAAGGCGUAGUCGAUGGGAAACAGGUUAAUAUUCCUGUACUUGGUGUUACUGCGAAGGGGGGACGGAGAAGGCUAUGUUGGCCGGGCGACGGUUGUCCCGGUUUAAGCGUGUAGGUGUGUGUUCCAGGUAAAUCCGGUUCACUUUAACACUGAGGCGUGAUGACGAGGCACUACGGUGCUGAAGUGACAAAUGCCCUGCUUCCAGGAAAAGCCUCUAAGCAUCAGGUAACACGAAAUCGUACCCCAAACCGACACAGGUGGUCAGGUAGAGAAUACCAAGGCGCUUGAGAGAACUCGGGUGAAGGAACUAGGCAAAAUGGUGCCGUAACUUCGGGAGAAGGCACGCUGAUAUGUAGGUGAAGCGGUUUACCCGUGGAGCUGAAAUCAGUCGAAGAUACCAGCUGGCUGCAACUGUUUAUUAAAAACACAGCACUGUGCAAACACGAAAGUGGACGUAUACGGUGUGACGCCUGCCCGGUGCCGGAAGGUUAAUUGAUGGGGUUAUCCGUAAGGAGAAGCUCUUGAUCGAAGCCCCGGUAAACGGCGGCCGUAACUAUAACGGUCCUAAGGUAGCGAAAUUCCUUGUCGGGUAAGUUCCGACCUGCACGAAUGGCGUAAUGAUGGCCAGGCUGUCUCCACCCGAGACUCAGUGAAAUUGAACUCGCUGUGAAGAUGCAGUGUACCCGCGGCAAGACGGAAAGACCCCGUGAACCUUUACUAUAGCUUGACACUGAACACUGGUCCUUGAUGUGUAGGAUAGGUGGGAGGCUUUGAAGUGUGGACGCCAGUCUGCAUGGAGCCAUCCUUGAAAUACCACCCUUUAAUGGCUGGUGUUCUAACGUGGGCCCCUAAUCGGGGUUGCGGACAGUGUCUGGUGGGUAGUUUGACUGGGGCGGUCUCCUCCCAAAGAGUAACGGAGGAGCACGAAGGUUAGCUAAUCCUGGUCGGACAUCAGGAGGUUAGUGCAAAGGCAUAAGCUAGCUUGACUGCGAGAGUGACGGCUCGAGCAGGUGCGAAAGCAGGUC